UGGGGAAUAUUGGGCAAUGGGGGCAACCCUGAUCCAGCAAUGCCGCGUGUGUGAAGAAGGUCUUCGGAUUGUAAAGCACUUUCGACGGGGACGAUGAUGACGGUACCCGUAGAAGAAGCCCCGGCUAACUUCGUGCCAGCAGCCGCGGUAAUACGAAGGGGGCUAGCGUUGCUCGGAAUGACUGGGCGUAAAGGGCGUGUAGGCGGUUUACACAGUCAGAUGUGAAAUCCCCGGGCUUAACCUGGGAGCUGCAUUUGA
rnacentral:rRNA from 1 species